GCAUGCAAUAGGAGACUAGACAUACUAGGAGCAAGAAAAAUACGCAACUUCUUCUUGAAGGCUUAAGCAAGGCAAGGGGGAGAAGGAGAGUCAGACGCCCAUCUAGGGAUUUGUUUCCUUCCCCUGACAGAUUACUAUCACAUUCACCAGUUAGAAGAACAGAGGAGAUGGUUGAAAGAACUCCUCCAAGACGCACUUUUGCAGACCAAUCAAAUGCAGGUGGCCC
rnacentral:lncRNA from 1 species